GUAUGUUGGCAGAUAUGUGUCGGUUUCCUUCAAACAAGAAUUUGAUAAAGCACAAACAGUCUAUGAUCCAUUGAUGGUGUACAUAAUGAUACAAUCACUACUUCACUAGGUGAUGAAGCAGUCUAUUAUUUGAUUAUAGAUAUCAUCUGCUGAAACUAAGAAUCUCAUUAGCCAUGUAAGUUGAUUAGAA